rnacentral:rRNA from 1 species
GAUGAACGCUGGCGGCGUGCCUAAUACAUGCAAGUAGAACGCUGAAGGAGGAGCUUGCUCUUCUGGAUGAGUUGCGAACGGGUGAGUAACGCGUAGGUAACCUGCCUGGUAGCGGGGGAUAACUAUUGGAAACGAUAGCUAAUACCGCAUGACAACAGUUAUUGCAUGAUAACUGUUUAAAAGGGGCAACUGCUCCACUACCAGAUGGACCUGCGUUGUAUUAGCUAGUUGGUGAGGUAACGGCUCACCAAGGCGACGAUACAUAGCCGACCUGAGAGGGUGAUCGGCCACACUGGGACUGAGACACGGCCCAGACUCCUACGGGAGGCAGCAGUAGGGAAUCUUCGGCAAUGGACGGAAGUCUGACCGAGCAACGCCGCGGGAGUGAAGAAGGUUUUCGGAUCGUAAAGCUCGGUUGUAAGAGAAGAACGAGUGUGAGAGUGGAAAGUUCACACUGUGACGGUAUCUUACCAGAAAGGGACGGCUAACUACGUG